rnacentral:lncRNA from 1 species
CGAAAAACUCAGUACGCAUCACAGAUUUGUUAAUGUUCUGUAACACAUUUACAUUUUACAUUUAUUAAUUUAGCAGACUCCAAAGCGAUGUACAUCUGGAAAAAAAAUACAAUCUGUGCAUAAGAGAGAGAGAGAGAGAGAGAGAGAGAGAGAGAGAGAGAUGGCUGCAGACAUGUGACCUUAUUUAAACCUAGCUGAAACACACUGUGUUUCACCAGUGAAGCCCUACAACUACUCGCGACUCCCCCGUGGGACAAGUGCGCCAAAGCUCUCUCCCGGAAGCGUGUGACGCAAUUGGAAUGAAAAGCGCGCGUGGCGGAUGGGUGGCGUUCAGUUCUUUUCCUGCGAUACUGGUGGAUACUUCGGGAAAGUACAUAUAGUCAUUUCUAGAGCUUCCAGCUGUUGACCAACAAUGUCUGGUAAUCUACCUUUAGAGACAAACACACAUCCUGCUGCAACAUCUGAGGGGUCCAUUAGUGUUACUAAUGGUUCUGUGGUCACUGGAUCCCGGUUGACUAGCUGUAUAGUUGGAGGCUCCGUCACCAACCGUGUCAGAGCUCUGUUAUCUGCUAGUGGAAAUCAGACUUCCCUGAACUCUACCACCAGCAGUCCUUCUAGAAGUGUCAUUACUGGAUCCAGUUUGAUGGACUGUGAAGUUGGGGGCUCUGUCACAAACAGUGUCAUGGGUAGAUUUUUGAGUGUUAUUCAAUACUUAAACACACUGUUCAUUCUGAAAGUAUUUAUUCCCUUCAAAUGUUCACAUUCGUAAGUCUGGAAGUGUUGUUCCUCUUCACUGAACUCAAAUUUAAUACUGUUAUUGGGCGUUUUUAGAAUUACAGCAGCAUUUUUCAGUAAAUUAAAUGUACACAUUUACUUUUUGCUAAAUUAUCACCCUGACAGUUCAGGAGUUCAUUGUUGUACAACAGACAUCAGUCAUAGCUUGGAAUAUUUGUGGGUUUAACUUCAUGAGCUUUACACAUUACCUUUAGGAGUUUUUAGACAGUUGUCUUUACAGUUUGCUGUACCAUUAUCAAGUUACAUGGAGAGGAUAAGUAUCCAGUUUUAAUUGGAUUAAUGUGUGAGCUGCUCCAUGAAACUGUUGUCGUUAACAUUUACCGUUAUUAAUUUUGCAGAUGCUUUUCUCCAGAGCGACAGACAUCUCUGGUAUUGAGAUAUAUCAGAUGUCGUGCUGUGGUUAAGGACAUUGAUUUAUAAGCUAAAGGCUGCCAGUUCAAACCAUCACCCGUUACUGUUGUUGUACGCUGGAUCUCGGUACUCAUAGCUACUCAAUAAACAUGGAUCUGUAUGUUGUCUGUUUAAUAAU